CCCCGUUGCUGGCUGAAGCGGUGACAGAGGGUUUGUGGCUGGUGUGGGGAAGAUAGGGAUGCUAUGGCUUUUUUAUUUUGUAUUUAUUUAUUUAUUUAUUUAUUUUGAUUGGGUGGAAUUGGGGGAGUUCAGCGAACGCGCCGUCAGCGCUGCACGGAAGAAAGCGCUCGGGGCGGCGUUGGCCGCGCACUCUCCGCGGCCUGCCAGAGCGCCGCCAGCAUCAAGCAGCCUGCCCGGGCCCGCCGCUGCGUGGUUCGGCUUUAUAUUUAAUACAUGCCUUUUCAUCUAUAAUUCACGCUGCUCAGACUCCAGCCACGUCUCGGCUCCCAUUUACGCCUGCACACCUUUCUCCUUCCCCUUCCCGAAGGGUCAGCCGAGAUACUCGGUGAAGGAAGGGGAGAGCUGUUUCGCUGGUUGUGUUUUUGUCUGCUUAAACAUCGAGCUGGAAAACACUUGUGGUCUGAUAAAUAAUAAAAGUGCUGAUUUCUCUUUCCCUGUAAAUGACACAGGUAAAUUACCCAGCUAGCCACAAAGCAGCAUCACAUGCCUGGAAGACAGUGUAAUAAAAUGCCGAUGUGUUAUGAUACGACUGACCUCAAAAGUGUGACAAGAGGAUGAUUAUAGUGCAUUAUAUAUAGUGUGUUAUAUCUAGUGCAUUUUUAAACAUUUUCUGAAGCAUGAAUGAAUCUUCAUUUGACUGUGCUUUUAUUGCUGCCUUUUCUCAGCUUGAACUUGCAAGCUGUAUCACGCAGUACCUAUCCAAUUUAGUAUGCCCAGAUACAUGGCCACGCUGGCUGCUGUUUCUGGUUCAGCCUUUCAAAUAUAUGUGCAUACAAAAAGAAAAGAUAACAUCAGUGUUUAUCUUCUUCCAUGUGCGAUAUUGUAACUAAAAAAUGUGUGCUGUUUCAGUUGAUAGCAUUGGCCAGCAAGAGAUCCAAGUUACUGCCUUGAAGAUUUUAGAAGAUUUUACAUCUUCAGAUGCAGGUUCCUGCCUUCAGAUUCCUAUAUACAUACACACGUACGGCGCAGUGUUAGGCAGUGGUGGAAGCUCCUUAUUUCUGUUAGAGAUGUUGUACAUCUGAACGGAUUUUUGGAGCUUUCUUCGAGGUUUCCUCCUCUUCCUGGGCGUAGGGAUUGAACAUAGAGUCUUUCCUUAUACUGAGGAGCACUGUGAGACUGACUGCUCUUUGUGCUGAACUCAAGAGACAGCAAACGCAAUACUGGGUGCAUCAUCCAACAUUUUUCUAAUUUGAUAGUGAAAACCUGGCAUCAGCUAUUAUAAGCAGUCUAACUGACAUUCAUACAAGUUGGAAGAUUUUAAAGCUUAUUUUAAGGCUGAUUGGCAGCAACUUUCUCUUCAAAAACUGAAUGCAGUAGCAAUAAGUUAAUCACAAGCAUUAAUAAAAAUUGUGCUUGAGGUCAUUGCUUAGAUACUAAAGACCUUUUGAUGAUUAGAGAAUGUGCCUGAAAAUUGUUCUGGGCACCUACUUAACAGCCUGUGACUUGGGAAAGCAUUAAUCCAGAACAUUGGCUUCAUUUUCUCAUUAAGUCUUCUACAUUAUAGGAUGCUGUUUGUGAGAUCUGUUUGAAUCAGUGGUGCACAGAAAGGAUGAAAUUAAAGAAACCGGUCUCAGUGAAAGAAGAGGAGAACAGCUGUUGGAAGAGACUGGAAAACAAGACUUCUGAGGAAUGGCUGGGGGAUUUGGAGUUGUUUAAUCUGGAUAAUGGAUAAUAGAAGGCCAAGGGGCGAUCCUGCCACUCUUUACAACUACAUGAAAGGAAAUCACAAUGAGGAAGGUGUCUGUCAGUCUCUUGUCUAAGGUGGCAAGGGGUAAAAGAGGAGGAAAAGGUCUCAAGUUGUACCAUGAGAGGUUUAAUUAGCAAAUUAAAAAGGAUGUACAAGAAAGUGGUGGAGUCAUCAUCCCUGGAGACAUGGGUGUGGCAGUAAGGGACAAGGUUUAUGAUGGGACACAGUAGGUCAGGAUGGUGGUUGGACCUGGUCGUCUUGAAGGUCUUUUCCCUCUACAUGAUUCUAUGAUUCUAUGAAGUAUUCCUGACUGAACUUGUCUCUGCCUGUGCUAUGUUCAAAGUUAAAUUCUGAGCUAUCUAACAUUGAUGUGUUUGCCAAAUAUGUCCUUUUUCGUUUUUCCUUACAGAUUUCUCUGAAUAUCUUAAUUUGUUCAGCUUCUGCAGCAUCCUGGUCUGGGGGAAUUCUAUGCUCGGUUCCUACCUUUUGGAUCAUAUCUCUAAUGACUUCCUUAUUGUAUCAUUAAAAUAGCUGUACUGUAUCAGACUUGUGUCUUAUCUGGCUGGCGUUCUUUUUCUAAUGUCCCCAGUGGACACUUAAAAAGAACCAUUAUGAAACAAAAUAAUUGCUAUGGAAAAUUUUACUCCUAGGUUCAUUUUGUUAGCAUUGAUAAAGCUUUUGAUAAACUCUAGGUUAAAAAAAAAAAAUUAUAAUCUUGCAUCAUCCAUUAUAAAAUUUUCCUGUUUCCUCUUUCAUAUUGUUGAUAGUUCCAGUGGCCCUGUGGUGUUUGCAAACAUGGGGGCAUAGUGUAAUUCUGGCUUUCCUUUAGUCUUUAUAUGCAAGAUUUUAAUAGUCUUUUCCUUCUGUCUUGUGUCAGUGUAUCAGGCCAUAUCCACUGGGUAAAAUUCUGCAGGAACAGUUAUGUUCAUCAGAGUAAGAAAACAUAUUCUUUGAUAACUUUUUAAAUAUUUUUAAAAAAAAAAAAAGAAAGAAAAAAAAAGUUAUUGUUCCUAUCUAAUACAGUUUUUAAAACAAUGUUUUAAUGACAUUCCUGAGAACUUAUUUGAUUAUUAAAUUGUGACUAGAAAAAUAUGUCUAUAAAGUCAGACUGACUACAAAAAUAUUUUCAGUGCGGGUUGAUGGUGCUGCUUUAAUAUAAUGAUUAAUAAUGUGGUGAAAUAUGCUUUAAAACCAAAUGAUGUUGAUGUUUUUGAGAAAUUGAGAUAUCCUUGAUACUAGUUUUGUACUUCAUUUGAUGUUACCUUGUGCAGACUUGUCUGUCUUGUUCUUUACUCCAAUACUUUCCUACUCAUUAGUGUUCAUGUAGCAUUAUGCAUGUCUCCAUAUCAACACUAAGGAACAGGGCGAAAUGAUGGCACUUCCUUCCAUUCUCAUGCAGAACCUAUUCAAGUACCAUCUAUUACAAAUAAAAUAUCAGUCGCUAUUUAUGUGGAACAAGUGAGAGUCAGUACAAUAAACAGAAUGAAUGAGGAAAGAGAGCUUGCUACUGACUUCAGUAUUGCUAUUUUGUGUUUACAAAAAGACACACAUAUCUAUGAAAAUAUAGACUUGACAGAUAUCUAACUGACAGAUUUAAGUAAUCUACUUAUUUUUUUCCUCUAGACAUUAUCUUCCAAUAUGGAAUUUUAAG